CUGCGGUUGUGAAGAGGAUGCUGUGGAGGUGGCAGCAUGAACGUGUCACACAGACAUUGGCUAAACUACUCGGCUUCUACACUUGCCCUCAGAGUUCACAUAUGGUGACGUGCACAGGUGUCCAGUCAGGUUCAGACUGAUGCUGGUAACAAGAGGAGAACAUGCUAAUUGAUGCUGUGUUGCUGCCAGUCCACGGAUGUACACGAAUGGCUCACCUGGAGGAGGAGGGCGGUCAACGACAUUACUCAAGUAUUGACAACAAAUGUGCUCUACGAAAUAUGAUGGAUCACAGACCCGACUCAGAACUGAACUCAUUUCAGCUGGCGGCUAACUGGUCUCAUAGGAGUCCAUGUUAACUGCUAGCUCGGAGGUAAAAUUUGCACUGCCGUUCUCAGAGAACGGUUGAAAGUACAGGAGAAAGGUAAAAGUCAGUUAUUUAACUCAAGGGGAUGUGUAAUAUGAGCUUAUUUCCAAAAAUGGGACAGUAUCACUUUUAAAUGGUCAAUGGCAAGGUCCCAAGAUGUUCUGUCACUGUAAUCAGAGACAUUUGAAGCCAAAUUGAUAAAGGAUACCGUUUUUUCUCAUUAAUACUAUUACUCCGAGGCUGUACGUUGUUCCAAAAUCCAGAAAAAGUUUUUGAAGUGCUUGUUUGUGUGUUUGUUUUUCAUGAUUCCAUAUUUUUUUCCUCAGAGCUGAGUCAUUCCAUAUUUUUUUUCCCUAUGCAUGCUCUAAAAAAGUAACUCUUACUUACUAAUGGAAUUACUUUUCAUGAUUUCUUUUGGUGUUUCUUAAGGCCAGACAGUUGCCCUUUGAAAUGAGUUCAGUUCUGAGUCAGGUCUG